GGAGAGGUGGCUGAGUGGUCGAAAGCGCCGCUCUCGAAAAGCGGUAGAGGAGCAAUCCUCUCGCGAGUUCGAAUCUCGCCCUCUCCG
rnacentral:tRNA from 1 species